rnacentral:rRNA from 1 species
CCUACGGGAGGCAGCAGUAGGGAAUCUUCCGCAAUGGACGAAAGUCUGACGGAGCAACGCCGCGUGAGCGAUGAAGGCCUUCGGGUCGUAAAGCUCUGUUGUCAGGGAAGAACAAGUACCGGAGUAACUGCCGGUACCUUGACGGUACCUGACCAGAAAGCCACGGCUAACUACGUGCCAGCAGCCGCGGUAAUACGUAGGUGGCAAGCGUUGUCCGGAAUUAUUGGGCGUAAAGCGCGCGCAGGCGGUUCCUUAAGUCUGAUGUGAAAGCCCCCGGCUCAACCGGGGAGGGUCAUUGGAAACUGGGGAACUUGAGUGCAGAAGAGGAGAGCGGAAUUCCACGUGUAGCGGUGAAAUGUGUAGAGAUGUGGAGGAACACCAGUGGCGAAGGCGGCUCUCUGGUCUGUAACUGACGCUGAGGCGCGAAAGCGUGGGGAGCGAACAGGAUUAGAUACCCUGGUAGUCCACGCCGUAAACGAUGAGUGCUAAGUGUUAGAGGGUUUCCGCCCUUUAGUGCUGCAGCAAACGCAUUAAGCACUCCGCCUGGGGAGUACGGCCGCAAGGCUGAAACUCAAAGGAAUUGACGG